rnacentral:rRNA from 1 species
CAGAUGGGAUUAGCUAGUAGGUGGGGUAACGGCUCACCUAGGCGACGAUCCCUAGCUGGUCUGAGAGGAUGACCAGCCACACUGGAACUGAGACACGGUCCAGACUCCUACGGGAGGCAGCAGUGGGGAAUAUUGCACAAUGGGCGCAAGCCUGAUGCAGCCAUGCCGCGUGUAUGAAGAAGGCCUUCGGGUUGUAAAGUACUUUCAGCGGGGAGGAAGGUGUUGAGGUUAAUAACCUCAGCAAUUGACGUUACCCGCAGAAGAAGCACCGGCUAACUCCGUGCCAGCAGCCGCGGUAAUACGGAGGGUGCAAGCGUUAAUCGGAAUUACUGGGCGUAAAGCGCACGCAGGCGGUCUGUCAAGUCGGAUGUGAAAUCCCCGGGCUCAACCUGGGAACUGCAUUCGAAACUGGCAGGCUAGAGUCUUGUAGAGGGGGGUAGAAUUCCAGGUGUAGCGGUGAAAUGCGUAGAGAUCUGGAGGAAUACCGGUGGCGAAGGCGGCCCCCUGGACAAAGACUGACGCUCAGGUGCGAAAG